rnacentral:rRNA from 1 species
UACGUAGGGACCAAGCGUUGUUCGGAUUUACUGGGCGUAAAGGGCGCGUAGGCGGCUUAACAAGUCACUUGUGAAAUCUCCGGGCUUAACUCGGAACGGCCAAGUGAAACUCUCAAGCUAGAGUGCGGAAGGGGCAAUCGGAAUUCGUUGGUGUAGGCGGUGAAAUGCGUAGAUAAUCAAGAGGAACACCUGAGGUGAAGACGGGUUGCUGGGC